AAGGGAUAGCCUCGGGAAACCGGGAUUAAUACCAUAUGAUAUCUAUUAACCGCAUGGCCUAUAGAUUAAAGAAUUUCGGUGUAAGAUGAGCUCGCGUCCCAUUAAUUAGUUGGUGAGGGUAACGGCCCACCAAGAUAGCGAUGGGUAGCCGAUCUAAGAGGAUGACCGGCCACAUUGGAACUGAGAAACGGUACAA
rnacentral:rRNA from 1 species